rnacentral:rRNA from 1 species
AGUUCCUACGGGGGGCAGCAGUGAGGAAUAUUGGUCAAUGGUCGGGAGACUGAACCAGCCAAGCCGCGUGAGGGAUGAAGGUACAGAGUAUCGUAAACCUCUUUUGUCAGGGAACAAAGGCGGGGACGUGUCCCCGGAUGAGUGUACCUGAAGAAAAAGCAUCGGAUAACUCCGUGCCAGCAGCCGCGGUAAUACGGAGGAUGCGAGCGUUAUCCGGAUUUAUUGGGUUUAAAGGGUGCGCAGGCGGUCUGGUAAGGUAGGGGUCAA